rnacentral:lncRNA from 1 species
AAUGAAUGUGACCAGAACGGCGAGUGUAAACAUGGCUGUGAACUCGGCUAUUAUGGCCCGGGGUGCAUCCAGUGUCACCAAGGAUGUCAUGGAACGUGCGACACCAUCAACGGUCACUGCGCUGAUGGAUGCAAGAAGGGAUACUACGGUUGGAACUGUAGCUUACACUGUGGAUCAUGUGUGACGAGUGUGUGUGAACAGCAGACUGGAUUGUGUGUAGAUGGAUGUAAUUCCACCUGUGACAAUGACUGUGACAAACUGUGCAAGGAGAACUGUUCUACGUCUGACAUAUGCCAGAAAUCCAAGUGGUGCAGUGAUGCAAUAACUUCCUCAACAACAGAAUCAGAUCUUGAUAAAAAGGUGUCUGUUGAACCUAACUACAUAUUGGACGUGGGAAUCAUCCUGGCUGUACUGCUGCUGAUUGUUAUUAUCCUAUUGCUGUUGCUCCUUCUGCGUAAAGCACCACAGUUUUGUCCACGGAGAAGAUUGUCCAACGGAAACGAUCCAGAACACACUGUGGUUGUUGAGGAAAUGCGUCAUAUGGAUACACGAUAUGAACC